CCGGCUGCCGGCCGGGCAGGUGCGGCGGGUUCUCCGCAGCCCCGGAUGCCCCCGCGCCCAGAAACUCGAGGAGGCGGGUGGACCGGCCGCCCUGAGCGCCCGACGGACAGCGGGGUCUCCCUCCAGGACCGCCGCCCCCAAGCCCGCGCGGCUGUGUGCGUGGUGCGGGGCGGGGGGAGUCGUCAGGGAGAUUGGAAGGGAAGGAGGCCGGGUCUUGUCUUUUCUCGUCUGCCCUUCUUCCAGGUGGGAGCGUGAGGACUAAAGAAGACGACUGGCUUCUCCAACGCCCGCCCCACCACAGCUCCCUAUCUGGGGUGACCCCCCCCCCCCAACACACACGCACCGAAACAGUGCAAACACUCCUUCCUGCAGCACUGUCGUGGCCAGAGGCAGGACUAACGGCUGGGUAACAAAGGGACGCUGGGUGACGGUGCCCAGGCCUCUGUCCUGCCCCCCCCCCCAAUAAAAUAAAGGCUUGUUUCCAGGGCGGGGCUCAGUACCUGGCCAACCACCGUGUUCGGGUAACAGCAUAAGGAAUAGACCUCCAGACACCCUCUCAUUUGGCCCCAGCCUGGAAUAUCAGAUGGCCUGGCGUCUUCUAAAGCCCUUAUUAUAUUGGUUUGCAUGUUGGGACGGCAGGUAGGAACGCAUCUUCCCUCACCUCCAGCACACCUGGCAGGUGGAUGUCACACCCAGAGGUCAGACAAGCAUAGCCAACUUCUCUCAACCCAAAAGAGGGAAAGGAGGUGCUGAAAGACUCCUUACUUGUACAUCUGUAUGCUGGAUAGUAAGACUCUCAGUCGUGUGGGAAAUAGUGCAUGUCUAGCACUUUCCACCAUGCAUGGCACCUAGCAAGCAAGCCUCCCUGGUAUCAUCCAUCUUGUGCCAACUUAGGGAAUAAGGAAGCGGUAGAAUAAGUUGGACCUGCGACAUUUGUAUGGGCACUCCUGGUUGCAAGUAACAGAAGCCCAAUCCCAGCUGGAUUACGCUGAGGGGCAAUGCAUUGUCAGGUAACAGAGAGGUUUAGGGUAUGCUGGUUUCAAGCCUGCCAGGACCAAGGACCCAUAGUGUCCUCAGCUCUUGGUCUCCAGCUCUUUCGAUGCCUCUACUUUCCAUGGGCUGGCUUCCCCCUCAGCAAGGCUGUCUCUGGAAAGCACAGCCACUCCAGGCUUGCCCCCUAUUAGCCAGUAGCCAGUCACUGUCCACCACUGGGGUGGCAUUGCCAAGCACGGAUCAGCUGUGUCAAUUAGGCCAAAGGGAAGAGCAGCCCCACUGGAACCAUGCAGAAAGAUUGGGACAUGGGUGCUUCACAAGGUCGUCUAGGGGCACUCUGAGCAGAAGUGUAUGUGCAGAGCAGGCAAACACAAGAGGAGCUCAUCAAAGGACUGUGCAGUACAGAUCCCAAAGCCUACGAAGAUUUCUGCUAAGACAUCAAGUCACAGAGCCAGGCAGGCCCUCCUCCCCACAGCAGGCCUUGAGUUAUUCAACCUAGAUGCCCUAUUUCUCUCUAGACCUUCACCUCUCUGGACCAAACACCCCAGAAAAACCCCUCUCCCCAAUAUUGCUUCUUAGACCAUGCGCCUUCUUCCUGCUUACCUUUCUCUGCAUGGGUCCUAUUUGACUCAGUGUCCCUUGUGAACCUUGGGGACCCCACUUACCACCUAUUCAAGGCACUCCUUCCCCUCGCUGAGGAGACAGUGACCCCAGGCUCUACUCAGACUGCCGGUAAGGACAAGCUUCCCAGCUGCAGAACCGGCCACCCGAUAUCCCAGGACAAGCAGUUUUGACCUUGAGCCUUCUUUGAUGACAGGGGGCUGACUGCAUUCACCUAAGUGGACCCCAUCAACUGACUUUCUUCUGCUCAACUACAGAACGACACCAACCUGAACUUCAUUUACUAGGACCUAUGACUUUCGCCCCACGUUCAGAGGACACUCAGAGAUUGUCUGCUCGGGGGGCGCCCAGGUGGCUCAGGCUGUUGA